UGAGUAUUGCAUCAGGUACUGGU
rnacentral:miRNA from 1 species